AGUGAACGCUGGCGGUAGGCCUAACACAUGCAAGUCGAACGGCAGCACAGUAAGAGCUUGCUCUUACGGGUGGCGAGUGGCGGACGGGUGAGGAAUACAUCGGAAUCUACUUUUUCGUGGGGGAUAACGUAGGGAAACUUACGCUAGUACCGCAUACGACCUACGGGUGAAAGCAGGGGAUCUUCGGACCUUGCGCGAUUGAAUGAGCCGAUGUCGGAUUAGCUAGUUGGCGGGGUAAAGGCCCACCAAGGCGACGAUCCGUAGCUGGUCUGAGAGGAUGAUCAGCCACACUGGAACUGAGACACGGUCCAGACUCCUACGGGAGGCAGCAGUGGGGAAUAUUGGACAAUGGGCGCAAGCCUGAUCCAGCCAUACCGCGUGGGUGAAGAAGGCCUUCGGGUUGUAAAGCCCUUUUGUUGGGAAAGAAAAGCAGCGGGUUAAUACCCCGCUGUUCUGACGGUACCCAAAGAAUAAGCACCGGCUAACUUCGUG
rnacentral:rRNA from 1 species